rnacentral:rRNA from 1 species
CCAACAGGGAUUGCCCCAGUAMCGGCGAGUGAAGCGGCAACAGCUCAAAUUUGAAAUCUGGCCCCCGGGUCCGAGUUGUAAUUUGUAGAGGAUGCUUUUGGCGAGGUGCCUUCCGAGUUCCCUGGAACGGGACGCCACAGAGGGUGAGAGCCCCGUCUGGUCGGACACCGAGCCUCUGUAAAGCUCCUUCGACGAGUCGAGUAGUUUGGGAAUGCUGCUCAAAAUGGGAGGUAUAUGUCUUCUAAAGCUAAAUAUUGGCCAGAGACCGAUAGCGCACAAGUAGAGUGAUCGAAAGAUGAAAAGCACUUUGAAAAGAGGGUUAAACAGUACGUGAAAUUGUUGAAAGGGAAGCGCCUAUGACCAGACUUGGGCCCGGCGAAUCAUCCAGCGUUCUCGCUGGUGCACUUCGCCGGGCACAGGCCAGCAUCAGUUUGGCGCGGGGGAUAAAGGCUGUGGGAACGUGGCUCCCCCGGGAGUGUUAUAGCCCACUGCGUAAUACCCUGCGCCGGACUGAGGUACGCGCAUUGCAAGGAUGCUGGCGUAAUGGUCAUCAGCGACCCGUCUUGAAACACGGACCAAGGAGUCGUCUUCGUAUGCGAGUGUUCGGGUGUCAAACCCCUACGCGUAAUGAAAGUGAACGCAGGUGAGAGCUUCGGCGCAUCAUCGACCGAUCCUGAUGUUCUCGGAUGGAUUUGAGUAAGAGCAUACGGGGCCGGACCCGAAAGAAGGUGAACUAUGCCUGUAUAGGGUGAAGCCAGAGGAAACUCUGGUGGAGGCUCGCAGCGGUUCUGACGUGCGAAUCGAUCGUCAAAUAUGGGCAUGGGGGCGAAAGACUAAUCGAACCUUCUAGUACUGG